rnacentral:lncRNA from 1 species
CUUUUUGCCAUUUCUUGAGCCGCUCCCACGGCAAGGAGGUUCCCAGGCUAGGGGGUCUCAUUGGAGCUGUAGCUGCCAGCCACAGCCACAGCCACAAGGGAUCCGAGCCACGUCUGUGACCUACAUCACAGCUCACGGGAAUGCCGGAUCCUUAACCCACUGAGCAAGGGCAGGGAUCGAACCCGCAACCUCAUGGUUCCUAGUCAGAUUCGUUAACCACUGCGCCACGACGGGAACUCCUGUCAUGUUCUUCUUGAUGAAGGACAACACUCAUGGAGAAUAUCCAGCAUCAAAAAGGAAAAAGUCAGUUCCACGGACUCAGGUUCCUUGUCUGUAAAAGGAAUGAGUGUGUCUUAAAGCAGAUCCCGCAAACCAGAGUGUAGGAAUCCCUUGGAAUGUUUUAAACAAAGACUGAACCCAAAUCUCUGAGACACCCAGCAGGCUGCAUUUUCAAAGGCUCCCAGAGAUGCUGAUGGGUUGUCAGGCUUGAGUCUGCUGAACCAACUGACUACGUACCACACCUUCUUUGAAUGACUUUCUGUGAAUCCAAAAAGGCCUGUCCCAGAAGUCGGGACAUCACAAUCAUUCCACACUACCAAGCCUCUGCUCUGUGUGAGACAUGCCACUAACUGCCCUUUGUCCUGCCCUUGUGCUGCUCAGACCUGGGGGUAGAAGGCUUGCGUGUGGACUUCUGCCCUUUCCUCCUGAAGCUCCCACUCCCCAAAGCUUUAAGGUUUGUCUAGACCCUGUCCACUGCAGGACAGCCAGAAGCCCCUGCUGCCCACUGCAGUGGCUAUUCUCGUAGGUGUGCUAUGCUCUUCGUUUACAAAGUGAGCAGUGAAGCUUGAGACCGUCCAUCACCAGGAAUGGUCUAGUUGGAGCAGGUAGGUGCAUAUUCAUUUUUCUUUUUCUUUUGAUCCUUAAACAUUUACGGUAUCGUUGUCUUUUUAAAUAGUUAUAUAGGCUUCACAUGGAGAAUUUUGGAAACACAGAAGAGUAAAAUCAAAUAAAAAUCAUCUAAAACAUCACCUUCAAGAGAAAGUUGUAGUCACUAUGAACAUUCUGGUUUGUAUUGUCUUUUGGUCUUUUGCAUUUAUACCCUUUUCCUAGAUAAAAGUGGAAUUAAUGCAUGUGACUUUGAUUUCAUUAUGAACAUGUACAAGGAGUGUUUCUACAAAUGCCCUUUCUGUUGUCAUUUUCCCUGGAGAUUAAAAUUUCAAACUAGAUGCACUUCCUCUGUCACAGCUUAUUCACAUAAGCAGCCUUCUUAAAACCAAUGGUCCCCACUAAUAAGACAUACACAUGAAUGCCCCACAGCCAAGUACAUUAAAGGAGAAACAGCUACCCCUUCUUUAUAUUUUUGCACGUACAACAGACAUUGGCUGAGAUGUAUCAGCUGCUCUGAAGGGCAAGAUUGGAAAAUUAAACUUCCAUGAACCAAAAGUCAAAAAUCAAAGCACAAUCGCCCAUGCCACAUUGAACUUGGAAGGAUGUAUAAAUAAGAUAAUGCUUUGAACAAACACUGCUGGAAUAUGGAAGAAGUCGUUCUUAGCCAAGCAUUGCCUUUGAGGUUCACUCCAAAAACCAGGCAACCCUUUGGGAGAGCUGGCCUCAUAAUUCUGAGUGUCUCAAGUGUGGCAAUUCCAGUUCAUGAGUGCUAACAUGAUUUGUGAAGACGAUACACACACAACUGGCCUCAUACUCAAAGUCUGACAAGAUCUUUUUCCUGGCAUGUAUUGCUGGCUGAUUGCUCUCAGUCCUUAAGAUGGAGGAGACAUACAGGGAGAAUGCUUUGGAGGCGAAUACAGAACCUGUAAUUUCUCACAUUUCUCUUUGCUUGGUAGUUAAUGAGCAAACAUUCCCUUCUCCACCUUAUCUCUUUUGAGGUCAUAUCAGCAAUUAUCUGCCCUCAGUGCAAAACUACCUGAAUAAUUCUUAAUGCAGAAGAGCUUAUCAGUUGUCUUUCAUUCCCUUUUGUCCAAGAAUGAUCAGCAGUAAAAUAUUUCAAACACACAGAAAAAGAGAGGUAAAUAAAACCACCCAGACUUGACAGAGGUGAACACUCCACUGUAUGCAUACACUUAAUAUAUUUUUAAAUAAAGCUCUUCACUCAUCACUGCCACAUUUAUAAGACUAUUUGGCUUUUUGCUGUAACAGGUCCUAUGAACACAUCUUUGUGUAUAAAUCUCUGAAGUGGUUGCACAGCUCUCAGCUCCACAGUCACAGGGCUGGGGCUGAGACCAAGUCACAGGGCAGGGGCUGAGACCAAGUGCUGUGGUGGUUGCAGUGUGGCUUUGGGUCCAUUCAGAUUUGAGUUCCAAUCCUGUCAACUAGCCAAGCAAGUUUUGACAGAUGUCUGUACCUCGUUUCUCAUUUAUAAAAUAGGAUAACACCUACCUUGUAGAGAUGUUGGGAGGUGAUGUUAAGUAAAGCAUCGGAAGAGUACCCAGCAUGUGCUAAGUGGUUAAGAUCAGCUUGUGCAUCUCUUGCAUGUACCAAACAACCCUUACAGAGCAUGGGUCCAUAUCCAACUGAAACCAAUCAACCACUACCUAGAUAAUUAAGAUAAUUAACAACCCCUUACAUCCCAUGAACGAAGGAAGCAGUUGGUUA